rnacentral:lncRNA from 1 species
GCGUGACGGCACCACUCUGCGCCCAGCACGGCGGCGCUGAGCAGAAAAAAGGAGAAAGCGGACCGCUGAGGGGGGGAGUUCGCGGCGGGCCCAACAGUCGCCAAUUAGGGGCGGCCGAGCUCCGGGGCGGAAGCGGCCGAGCGGGUAAGGAGCCUCCGAGAAGCCUCCGGCUGAGGGAAAAGGAGCGGGAGGAGAGCGCGGGAGGGGGAAAGCGGAGGGCGCUGGGCGGGAAAGCGGCGCUCCGCUCCGCGCGUGCGCACUGCCCUGCUGUGAGAGGAAGCUGGCGCCCGGCGCGCAUGCGCGGCCGAGCGACGCUUUCCCCGCCCCCCUUUACCAGGGCCAGCAGUGCGCCGCUUUUCCCCCGAUAGACUCGGCGGCGUUCUGCUUCGCGCAUGCGCGCCAACUGCGAGCCGGUGUUCUCUGCGUCUUAAGCGACGAUGCGCUCAGUAAGCCAAAGGGGCGGGGAAGGCGGAGGUUCGCGUUGCGCAAGAGGAGAGGAUGGGAGAGGUGGGUGGGCGAUGAGAGAGGCAGAGAAAGGGGCGGGAGGGGUUGUCUCGCGUUGUCAUCUCUUGUCUGCCUCGCGCUUCCUUAUUUUUUUGGGGGAGGGGGGGGGAUCGGGGCCCUGCAGAGAAAGCCAGCCAGCGGAUCCUGUGCACGCUUAACCUGGGAGCGCAGCCCCGUGAGGCUUGCUCAUGUGGGGAAUUGCACAGUUAGUUAGCUUGCAAUCCUGCAUUCCCUUACCUGAAUUCAGUGGGCCUGACAUCCGAGUGUACACACGCAGGGUUGCGCUAUUCAAGGGCAGAGCCACACCAUUUAAAGCACAUGACAAAAAAAACCCCACCAAAUAACCCCAGGAAUGGUAGUUUGUGACGGGUACUGGGAAUUGUAGACCUGUGAGGGGAAACUAUAGUUCCCAGGACUGUUGGGAGUCCUGUGCUCUUUAAAUGUGCAUUGGGUGUGCUUUAAAUAAUAAUAAUAAUAAAUUUUUAUUUAUACCCCGCCCUCCCCAACCAAGACCAGGCUCAGGGCGGCUAACAACCAAUAAUAAAAACAAGUUGAUUAAAAUACAGUUUAAAAGAUUAAGAUACAACAUUAAAACAUUAGGAUGCAGCCUCUUCACAUAUGCAAGGUGUGGAUCAGGCAUAGGCAGACUUGGCCCUCCAGAUGUUUUGGGACUACAACUCCCAUCAUCCCUGACCACUGGUCCUGUUAGCUAGGGAUCAUGGGAGUUUUAGUCCCAAAACAUCUGGAGGGCCGAGUUUGCCUAUGCCUGGUGUGGAUCUUCCCCAUGAGUAUUGCUGUCCUCCUUUCCACCUUAACUGCCCCCUGCUCAUUAUACCUCAGCGCUCGGCGCUGCAGAUAAAAUGAGAAGAAAGCUGCAGGUGAGAGUGGGGUGGGUGUUGCAAGCCUUUCUCUCCACACCUCACUCUAGAGAAAAUGGAAAGGAGAUGGUUUAAAACCUGGGGCUGCUCACUAACCCCAGAAACCUUAAUGGUCUCCUCAGGAAGCAUGGAAUUGCAGGCCACUAGCCUCUUAGGCUUGAGCCCUAACCCCAUCUACUAUGGAACUGGCCCCAUUGAAUUAAAGAGGCUUUGCCUCUGAUUAGAUGGAGUUACAAUUGUGCUGCUAGGGUGGUUUUAGAAAGAAGGAAAGAAAGAAAAAGACAGACUUCUAUCAAGUGGGAUGUUGGAGUAGGAUGGUUCACCCAGUCCUCCCCUCUGCCAGCCCGCUGCCUUUCCAAUAUGGUUGCAGAGGAAAAUAUUUUGUUUCCUCUAUGCAUAGGAACCACAAAGGCUGGAGGAGGAGGAAUGGAGUGACAUGUCCCUUCAUUUCCAACCUGAUCACUUUCCUGUAUUGAGAGCCAGUGUGGUGUAGUGGUUAAGAGCGGUAGUCUCAUAAUCUGGGGAACCGGGUUCGCGUCUCCGCUCCUCCACUUGCAGCUGCUGGGUGACCUUGGGCCAGUCACACUUCUUUGAAGUCUCUCAGCCCCACUCACCUCACAGAGUGUUUGUUGUGGGGGAGGAAGGGAAAGGAGAAUGUUAGCCGCUUUGAGACUCCUUAAAGGGAGUGAAAGGCGGGAUAUCAAAUCCAAACUCCUCUUCUUCUGUAUGGAAUUCCAGGUUGCCUAUGCAACUAGAUGAACUGUUAAAUACAAGGUGUCCUUUUAUUUUAAAGGAAGGGAUAUGCUUAUUAUUGAGUCAUGACUUGAAAACAAUACGUUUCCUUGUUUCUGUUCAGUAUGGUUAGCAUCAGUGCCCACAUGAUGCUUAACUGUGGUUGACUAGAAAGAGAUGAUCUUAGUGCUGAUGGGGGACAGAAUUAUUGAAGUAUUGGAGCCUUCAAACAGUUCUAAUACAGACUGUGUGCCCCAUAUUUCUUUGAGAGUACAGACUGUGGUACUGGCUGCAGAAUUCAACUUUGCAAGCAUCUGGACUUUAAAAAGUAAAAGUUUCCAGCCCUUAUGGUUGAUGAUGUUUGCAUGGAAUUCCACAGGAGGUACCUGGUGAAAUCUCUAAAGCCAGCGUAGUGUGAAAUAAGAUGUCCAGUGGUCCAUGCCCGACUUGCCCCUUUUGUGACUAGCAAAUCCAGCCCGCCAAAGUUAGUAACAUGCAUGGGGCUGGCAAAGAGUGACAGAGAACUCCAUCACUCUCACAGCAGCAUGUUUCACUUCUGCGCUGGGGGCUUGGUGUGUGGUGGUCCACUUGGUUUCUGUGCUGGGUUCUGGAGAGGGACAGAGCCCUCCAGUCUUUCUCUGCCAACCAGCUCAUCUGCCUGCAUGGAAUUCCUUAUUGCCUCUUCCUGUCAGGCCAGCGCUUAAAUGCAAGGCUGAGUGAGCCGCAGUAAACUGUUCAAAAUGAAAGAGUGGUGCAGACAUGCAUGAUUUAAUCAGGCUGCAGUUCAGGAGUGGGGAACAUUUGGACUUCCAGCUGUUGCUGAGUAUCCCUGAGCUGCUUUGGGAGGAAGGGCCUGAUAAAAGUUUAAAAGUAAAUAAAGCUUCCAUCAGCCCUAGCAAGUAUGUCUAACAGGCGGAGGGGGGAGGCAGGGAGCUGUAGUUCAACCGCACCUGCUGUAGUUCAUAUAUAUAUAUUGCAAAUGUGUGCAGUUGAAAUGUUAUACCCUGAAAAGCUAUACUAUGCUCACCCCUGUUCUUUAAUGGCCCCCCUCUUACCCCCGCCCCAGUAUAUUUUGAUUUAAUCACCUUCAUUUCUGCAGGCAGUUAUCUGUGCUUCAUGAGAGAGGCCUGCCUGCAGAUCAGAGCUUAAUUGAAAUUGGAAUCCAUGCUGCUUUUCCCAAUUGUCAGCCUCUGCAAUAACAUUAAAAGCAAAAAAGGGGGGUGCCUUUUCUUUCCACCUUCCUCUCUGAAUCUCAGUGUGUGUUGCUCACCAAAAAUCAUUUGCUUAAUAGGUCUCCCCUCACCUCUCAGAUGUGUUAACUCUUAUUAUGUGUUGCUUCCUCCCGGGUGCGGACUUGACUGGCCUCUUUGCUGGUGACUAUAAAUAGUCUAGGGUGGUAGUAAUGACUGAUUGGUUCUCAGUGUUCAUCCCACUGCAUGGAGAGCCUUGGGGUUUUCCGUCUGUUGCUGAAAUGUGUAGCUUUCUGUUCCUAUUUCCAUUUCACUUCGGAGGUAGGCUGGUAGGAAUAUGGAGAGCUUGAAAUGUUCCUGAUUGCUUAUCCUCUCUGGCCAGAGCAAGAGGUGCGUGAACAAGCAAGCUGAAAUGGUGGAAGAGGAGAAUCAGGGGAGAAAUCCUACAGAGUUAUUUCCCAGUGUGAUUGGACAUGGACCACACUGUGGGUAGGGACACCCUUUCUCCAUGUUGGCUUGCUCAUGUGUCAGCUUGAACUUUCUUCUCCAUCUUGCUUUUCCUCUGAGGAACUCUGAGUGGCUUGUGUGAGAUUCCCAAACAGAUACUGACUGCAGUCUCUAAUCCCCCUUGGUGUUGGCCAUGUGCCUCAGUUGUUCCUGCUCUUAGUGGGCUAAAUGGUAAAGAGCUCUGUGGCUUGUUUUGUUUUGCUGUGGAACACGCCUUGAGUUUCACUUGUUGGUCCCUCUCUGAUUCUUAAGAUUAUGUGUUAGUUCUAGAUGCAUCAAGGCCACUGUUCCUUGGAACCAGCCAAGCUUCCUCCUAAAACAGCAACGUUAGACAAAGAUAUCCAAAGUGAAUAACAUGCAAAUGACUUUGGUAGCCCAGCUGUCAAGCCUUCUAGUGUAUGCUGUUUAAAGGUGCAUCAACCGCUUGUAAAAACGCGCUUCGCCAAUCUGGAGGGCGCCAAGUUGGCGAAGGCUGCUAUAUUUUAGAAUGUUUUAUAUUAUUGGCUUCUGCCUCAUAACGGGCAGACCAGCAGGUGGCUGCUUACAAGCCUCAAUUGUACCAACCUGCAGAGUGUGUGUAAUGGGAUACGGUGAUGAUUCUAUUGAUCUCUCAGUUCCUCUGAGGGAAGCUUUCUUUUUAUUGCGCCUGCUUCACAUGUAGCACCAGUUAUCUUUACAGAGUGCCAGACGGAAACUGGUGUGCGAAUGGGUAGUUUUAAAUAUGGCACCUAAUUAAUGUGUGGAAUUUGAUGUGGGGGGCUGUGGCAGUGGAAAGGAAAAGCGGAUGAAACACGCGUGAAGGCUGUCUGUACUAUGCUAACUGAAUCAAAUGGAACCUCCACAUUCAGAGGCAGUCUCUGAUGACCCACUGCUGGGGAUCAGCAGCAGCAGCAGAGAGGAAUGGCCUUCAUUCCCUGUUUGUGACUAUCCUGAUAGAUCUCCAAACUUAGUUCAGCCCUCUGAUUGCUGUACGGGCCCUCUGCUGCACUGAUGUAGGAUGCUGUGUGUUUGUGUGUGU